UACGGCGGGUGCGAGCGUUGUCCGGAUUUAUUGGGUUUAAAGGGUGCGCAGGUGGCCCGGUCAGUCAGUGGUGAAAUGCGGCCGCUCAACGGUCGAACUGCCAUUGAUACUGCCUGGCUUGAGAGGAGUGGAGGCCGCCGGAACGGACGGUGUAGCGGUGAAAUGCAUAGAGAUGGGCCAGAACGCCGAUUGCGAAGGCAGGUGGCUACGCUUCGUCUGACACUGAGGCACGAAAGCGUGGGGAUCAAACAGG
rnacentral:rRNA from 1 species